rnacentral:tRNA from 1 species
UGGAAUGUAGCUCAGUGGUUGAGUACAUGCCUAAUAUGCAUGAGAUCCUGGUUCGAUCCCAAGCACCACAC